CCUACGGGAGGCAGCAGGGGGGAAUAGUGCACAAUGGGGGAAACCCUGAUGCAGCGACGCCGCGUGAGUGAAGAAGUAGUUCGGUAUGGAAAGCUCUAUCAGCAGGGAAGAAAAUGACGGUACCUGAGUAAGAAGCCCCGGCUAACGACGUGCCAGCAGCCGCGGUAAUACGUAGGGGGCAAGCGUUAUCCGGAUUUACUGGGUGUAAAGGGAGCGUAGACGGCAGCACAAGUCUGGAGUGACAUGCCGGGGCUUAACCCCGGAACUGCUUUGGAAACUGUGCAGCGAGAGUGCAGGAGAGGUCAGUUGAAUUCCUAGCGUAGCGGUGCACUGCGUAGCUAUUAGGAGGAACACCAGUGGCGACGGCGGCUUACUGGACUGUAACUGACGUUGCGGCUCGACCGCGUGGGGAGCAAACAGGAUUAGAUACCCGGGUAGUC
rnacentral:rRNA from 1 species